CGUAGAGCUUCCUUAAAAAAAAGAAAAAAAAAAUGUCAAAUUGUACCCUUUAAAAUGCAUGCAGAUUAGUGAAUGUCAAUUAUAUUCAAUAAAAUUUUGUGGGUUUUUUUUAAUCAUACACACACACACACACACACAGAAACAAAACAUGGGCCAGAUUCCGAGCCCUCUACACACAUUAACUUGUUUCAUUUUGGAAACAAAUCUACGAGGUAAGCACUAUGAGCCUCAUUUGAAAGGUGGGAAACUGAGGCCCAGAGAGGUUAAGUAACUCACCCAAGGUCACACAGCUGGUAAGUGGCAGAGCUGGGACUUCAACCCAGCUGCCUGGCCCGAGUCUGCUCUGAACCGUCACCUGGUUAAUUAUUGUUGGAGUUGUUACAGAGAAGCAAAGAUAGGUAGAGGAGGAAAGGGGCAGACGAUGAGGCUCUUCAACCCAGCCCUUGACCUCCUUCCUGCCUGUCCCUGCAGGUGGCAGAGCUGAGAGGCCCUGUGCUCCGGCUGCGGGAGCCGCUGGGCGUGCUGGCUAUCGUGUGCCCUGAUGAGUGGCCCCUGCUUGCCUUUGCGUCCCUGCUGGCCGCCGCCCUGGCCCAUGGCAACACCGUGGUCUUGGUGCCCAGCGGGGUCUGCCCCAUUCCCGCGUUGGAGGUCUGCCAGGAUUUGGCCACCUUGUUGCCAGCGGGCCUGGUGAAUGUGGUGACUGGAGACCGGGACCACCUGACCCGCUGCCUGGCCUUGCACCAGGACGUCCAGGCCCUGUGGUAUUUCGGAUCUGCCCAGGGCUCCCAGUUUGUGGAGUGGGCCUCAGCAGGAAACCUGAAGCCGGUGUGGGUGAACAGGGGCCGCCCUCGGGCCUGGGAUCAGGAAGCCCAGGGAGCAGGCCCAGAGCUGGGGCUGCGGGCAGCACGGACCAAGGCCCUGUGGCUGCCCAUGGGCGACUGAUGCCUGAGUGCCCCCACACUCCGUCUUGGACAGAGGAGAGAUGGACCCCGACAGACACCAGAAGCCUGGAGCCUUCUUUUAUCAUGGCUCCGAUGCCCUCCAAUAAACUCUGACCAACCUUGGCUGUGCCUCUCAGGGGAGGAAGUGGGGGAGUAGCGACUUCUGUUCUGUUUGAGGCCUUUUGAAUUGUAAGACUCAGCAGCUGGGUGGGCUGGCUCCAGUAUAACCCGGUAUUUGUGAGACAGAUAAAGGGAACUCUGAAGAGCCCCAGGCAGGCCCUCAGAGCCUCAUGUUUCCCCCUUGGUCUUCUCCUUCGUGUAGCUCUUCCCCUUUGACUUUCUCUGCCUAUGCAUUGUUUUAGGACCCAUAGCUUGCAGACAAACAAUAAAACACAGUGGCUCUCUGGAAUACAAUAAAAACCCUGGUUGGAGUCGAAGAAACUGAGGCUUAUUGAGGAUAAGGGGCUGGCCAAGCUCCCACAAUGACCCAGCCAGAGCUAAAAGUGAUAUUUGCCAGGCCUGAUGCAACAAGACCUGUUCCCCAAGUCCCCUUGGGUCGCGGGCCCUGGCAGGACAAAGCCAGAGGCCCAGAGGACGGUCAGACCCCAGCAACACAACAAGCUCCUGGCCUGUGCCAGGGAGACCCAUAAUCUGUGCGACUGUGGAGGGGA